CUUUAAUGUGACGUUACUACUACUAUAAAUACAACCCCUUUUUGUCGUCACAUCCUCUUUCCAUUUCUCUUCUCGCAGCGAGAUCCUUCUCCACACGAUGAGAGCUAAGUGGAGGAAGAAGCGCAUGCGCAGGCUGAAGCGUAAAAGGAGAAAGAUGAGGCAGAGGUCAAAGUAAGCCCUCAUCGUGGCAGCUGCAGCCCGUCUGACUUCCUUGUGUGACUGACUCUGAUGGACGGGACGUUUCCAACUUGGUUUCUGGCCACCACGCUCCUCAUCCAUCCAUCCACCCACCCUUGUUGGUCUGCAAGAGGGCACUGACCUGACGAUAGACAUCAGAGCUGCAGCCGUUUUGGUUCAUGGACCAUUAAACAUCUUGUUUGUCCAACAAAUGUCAUGUGGUGUAUUGAACAAUAAAUGAACACUGUUUCAAACUUUGCUACAA